UCCCUGGUUUUCUAGUGAUAAUGAUUCGGCGCUCUCACUGCAGCGGCCCAGGUUCGAUUCCAGGUCAGGGAA